rnacentral:rRNA from 1 species
AAGGAAUAUUGGUCAAUGGAGGCAACUCUGAACCAGCCAUGCCGCGUGCAGGAAGACGGCCCUAUGGGUUGUAAACUGCUUUUGUACCAGAGAAAACCUAUCUACGUGUAGAUAGCUGAUAGUAUGGUAAGAAUAAGCAUCGGCUAACUUCGUGCCAGCAGCCGCGGUAAGACGAAGGAUGCAAGCGUUAUCCGGAUUCAUUGGGUUUAAAGGGUGCGUAGGCGGACUUGUAAGUCAGUGGUGAAAUCUCUCAGCUUAACUGAGAAACUGCCAUUGAUACUGCAGGUCUAGAGUACAGGUGAUGUGGGCGGAAUAUGACAUGUAGUGGUGAAAUACUUAGAUAUGUCAUAGAACACCGAUUGCGAAGGCAGCUCACAAAACUGUAACUGACGCUGAGGCACGAAAGUGCGGGGAUCAAA